rnacentral:rRNA from 1 species
UACGUAGGGUGCGAGCGUUGUCCGGAAUUAUUGGGCGUAAAGAGCUUGUAGGUGGUUUGUCGCGUCUGCUGUGAAAAUCCGAGGCUCAACCUCGGACUUGCAGUGGGUACGGGCAGACUAGAGUGAUGUAGGGGAGACUGGAAUUCCUGGUGUAGCGGUGAAAUGCGCAGAUAUCAGGAGGAACACCGAUGGCGAAGGCAGGUCUCUGGGCAUUAACUGACGCUGAGGAGCGAAAGCAUGGGGAGCGAACAGG